UACGAAGGGGGCUAGCGUUGCUCGGAAUCACUGGGCGUAAAGCGCACGUAGGCGGAUUGUUAAGUCAGGGGUGAAAUCCUGGAGCUCAACUCCAGAACUGCCUUCGAUACUGGCGAUCUCGAGUUCGGGAGAGGUGAGUGGAACUGCGAGUGUAGAGGUGAAAUUCGUAGAUAUUCGCAAGAACACCAGUGGCGAAGGCGGCUCACUGGCCCGAUACUGACGCUGAGGUGCGAAAGCGUGGGGGAGCAAACAGG
rnacentral:rRNA from 1 species